ensembl:lncRNA
AUGGCGCUCGCAAAAAAACAGAAAGAGGCCAAAGAAAAACUCCAGCCAUUGAGAGAUUUGCUCUGUGACCCAAAUUCCUCGUUUGAAGACUUGUCUGAGCUGCUUCACAAAUGCAAAUUAACUUAUGAACAAUACUUGGAUUGUGUCUUCAAUUUAAGCAAUGGCCAUGUCAUCCUCUUAAAGCGUGAACCUAAUGACUGCUGGGUGAAUGCAUACAAUGCAGAUCUGCUGAGAGCCUGGAAUGCCAACAUGGACAUCCAAUAUGUCAUUGAUGACUACAGCUGCCUGAUGUACAUGAUGUCUUAUGUCUCUAAACCCGAAUUUGAGAUGACACAAUUUCUUAAUGGAGUCAUCCAGGAGGUCAAAAAGUCCAAUGUCAAUGAAAGAGAUGAAAUGAAACAGAUAAUGCAGGCAUAUGCUAAACACAGAGAAGUCAGUGCCCAAGAAUCCGUGGCAAGGACAUGCAGCCUGCCACUAAAAAAGUGUUCACGCAGUGUGGUGUUCAUACAGACUGAUGAUGAUGCCCUGAAAAUGAGUCUCCCGAUGAGCAGGUUGCAGAGCAUGGCACCAGAUGAUGAAAAUGUGUGGAUGUCUGGAUUGCCAGAAAAAUAUGCAAACAGACCCAGAACACCUGAGUUUGAAAGAAUGUGUUUGGCUGAAUUUGCUUCAGAGUACAGGAUUCUCUAUAGCCAUCAAACAGAGUCAAAAAAUGCCAUCCCUCUUUUGAAUAACAUGGGUUAUAUUCAAAAGAGAACAAGAGGGAAACCUGCAAUAAUCAGAUAUCCUCGGUUCUCAGAAAAGAAACAACCAGAGAAGUUUUAUAGCAGACUACUAAAACUUUAUUUUCCACAUCGAUCAAAUGAUGACCUUAAAAACACAACAUACCCCACAUCCGAACAGUUCUACAAAAGUGGAGGAAAACAUGGUUUUGCUGUGCGGCCAAUUGUUACCUUUAACAAAAAGCGUUAUGAAAGCCAUGGCAAAACAAUGGAAAGGGCCCAGAUUGAACAACAAGGCCCACUUAUCAAUGCAUGGAACACCUUUGCACCUGAGGUUGAAGUAGAUCGUUUAGAGUGUGUGGCCCAACGGCAAUCCAGACAUGACACUGACGAAAAUGAAAUGGACAUUGUUCCAGACUACCAAGUCAGUGGUAGCAGCAGUGGAGCCAUGCCAGCAAUCAUAGCACCAAAGCUGAGCCCAGACUUUGUCAGAAAAAUGUACCAAAGUCUGAAUGAAACCCAAGCAUCCAUAUUCUACGCAGUGCGUGAGUGGUGUUUCAAACUUGUGUGGGGUCACUGUCCUGAGCAGUUCUUUUAUUUUGUCUCUGGAGGAGCUGGCUGUGGAAAAUCACAUGUUAUCAAGUGUAUAUAUGAGGAGGCAACAAAGACUUUGCACCAACUCCCCAGAUUCCGUGACCAAGCAGACAUGUCCUACCCUGCAGUACUGCUGACUGCAUUUACUGGCACUGCAGCUUUUAACAUAUCUGGGAAAACACUGCACUCUCUGCUAAAGCUGCCAAAAUCUUUAAACCGCCGUAUCAGGGACUGGGGAAUGCACUGGAUGAAGUGA